rnacentral:rRNA from 1 species
UGGGUAACCUGCCUCAAAGAGGGGAAUAGCCUCCCGAAAGGGAGAUUAAUACCGCAUAAUAUGUUUAAGUCGCAUGACUUUAACAUCAAAGGAUUUUCUUUUAGAACUUCCACUUUGAGAUGGACCCGCGGCGCAUUAGCUAGUUGGUGAGGUAACGGCUCACCAAGGCGACGAUCGUUAGCUGGUCUGAGAGGACGAUCAGCCACACUGGGACUGAGACACGGCCCAGACCUCGUACCGGGGAGG